ACAUCGGCGUCCGGACGAAGCGGUGGUUCUCGCGUCUUCACGCUCGGUCUCCACCUCGUCUCCUCGCCCGCGUCGAAGCGUGUUCUCAAAAACACCAUGGCAUCCGUGUGCAUCAUCGGCUCCGGCAACUGGGGCUCGGCCAUCGCGAAGAUAGUCGGCGCGAAUGCGAAGAAUCAGAGCAGCUUCGCCGAUCGUGUUACUAUGUAUGUUUACGAGGAGAUUAUCGACGGCAAGAAGCUGACGGAGAUCAUCAAUCAGACGCACGAGAACGUCAAGUAUCUUCCGGGACAUAAGAUCCCUGAGAACGUGAUUGCGAUCCCAGACGUGGUGGAGGCUGCGAAGGACGCGGACAUACUUAUAUUCGUGGUCCCGCAUCAGUUCAUCCAAAGGAUAUGCAGCACCUUGCAGGGGAAGAUCAAGCCCACCGCCGUCGGGUUGUCGCUGAUCAAGGGCUUCGACAAGAAGGAGGGUGGCGGCAUCGAACUUAUCUCUCACAUUAUUUCGAAACAAUUGCAAAUCCCAAUCUCAGUGCUGAUGGGCGCUAACUUGGCUUCCGAGGUGGCUAACGAGAUGUUCUGCGAGACCACCAUUGGCUGCAAGGACAAAGUGAUGGCGCCGGUACUUCGCAACUUGAUCCAGACAUCGUAUUUCAGGGUAGUAGUCGUCGAGGAUGUGGAUUCUGUGGAGUGUUGCGGAGCGCUGAAAAACAUAGUUGCCUGCGGCGCUGGUUUCGUCGACGGGCUGGGUCUAGGUGACAAUACAAAGGCCGCGGUGAUCAGACUGGGCCUCAUGGAGAUGAUCAAGUUUGUCGACGUAUUCUUCCCGGGUGGAAAAUUGGCGACCUUCUUCGAGAGCUGCGGAGUGGCCGAUCUGAUCACAACGUGCUACGGUGGGCGCAAUAGGAAGGUCUCAGAGGCCUUCGUCAAGUCUGGCAAGUCGAUCGAGACACUGGAGAAGGAGAUGCUGAACGGACAGAAGCUGCAGGGCCCGGUCACCGCCGAAGAGGUCAAUUACACGCUGAAAUCUAAAAACAUGGAAAAUAGGUUUCCAUUAUUCACAGCAAUUCAUCGGAUUUGCAUUGGUGAGCUAAAACCGACGGACUUAAUCGACUGCAUACGCAGCCAUCCGGAACACAUGGACGAGGAAGCCUCGCCGUCGUCGAUGACGCUCAAGUCGCCCAAGUGCCGUCUUUGAGGAUGCCGAGCGUCGUUCCUCGAGGGAGGACUGGUCGCCAUUGAAACGCCAACGACUUAGAUCAGACGUUAUUGAACCCGGAAAGCUCAUUUUUACGUAAGAAACUUAAGAAACGUUCGAGUAGCAAACAAGUAAGAUGAGCGAGUUCGAAACAGGAGGCUCUUUCACGAGAUGAUCAAUGUAUUCAAACGAUGUUCGAUGCAACUGUGAUAGUUCAUGGACUUGCGUAUGUGUAAACUGUGAUAGUUUAUAGGUCAUGAAAUAAUUCAUCUCAUUGUGGUUACUAAUUACUCUUUCACGCAUGGCAAAACUUUUUGAAAGAUUUUAUCUUACUGCGUAUAUAUAUAAGAAUCAUUCCUUAGAGUUUCCUAUUAAUAAUUUCAGUAAAUAUCGAUAAGAUAAUCAGGCGUUUCUUUAUAAGGAAUCACACUCGUUUUUUUAUAUCAUAAGAGCUAUAAUGUUCCGUAUAAUGAAUAAUAGAAUGCGAUCAUCGUAAUUGUAAUCAAUAUUAGAUAUGUAAUCGAUAAUUAUUUCAACAGAGAAUUAAGCAAUUUGUAAACACUCGAACUGCUUAUGUUCUCUCUUUUCU